rnacentral:rRNA from 1 species
UACGAAGGGUGCAAGCGUUAAUCGGAAUUACUGGGCGUAAAGGGUGCGUAGGCGGUUAGUUAAGUCUGUCGUGAAAUCCCCGGGCUCAACCUGGGAAUGGCGAUGGAUACUGGCUAGCUAGAGUAUGUCAGAGGAUGGUGGAAUUCCCGGUGUAGCGGUGAAAUGCGUAGAGAUCGGGAGGAACAUCAGUGGCGAAGGCGGCCAUCUGGGACAACACUGACGCUGAAGCACGAAAGCGUGGGGAGCAAACAGG